rnacentral:rRNA from 1 species
UACGAAGGGGGCUAGCGUUGCUCGGAAUCACUGGGCGUAAAGGGUGCGUAGGCGGGUCUUUAAGUCGGGGGUGAAAUCCUGGAGCUCAACUCCAGAACUGCCUUUGAUACUGAAAGUCUUGAGUAUGGGAGAGGUGAGUGGAACUGCGAGUGUAGAGGUGAAAUCGUAGAUAUUCGCAAGAACACCAGUGGCGAAGGCGGCUCACUGGCCCAUAACUGACGCUGAGGCACGAAAGCGUGGGGAGCAAACAGG